UCUAGCGCCAGGAAGUUGGCAAACUUAUACAAACUGAAAUAUCGGCGUCGUCUACUUGUUCCUAAGAACCCGCAAUGCCUUCAUUGCCUCACUAAGUUCACUUCCUGCUUCCACAGCAGCCCAUCGAGGCGCCUCGACAAACUGAACUAAUGUAUCAUCUCUUGUGUUUACUGUUUAUCUGUCUGCAGCUGCUUCGGCACUGCCAAAUGAGGAGCGCCGGUUGUACUUCCACCUCGUAGCGAGCCAUCCAAACAUGACGUGUAGCCCCCCUCUCGCGCCCCCUUUCACGCGAGGGAAACGAGCUGAACCGAGCCUCCGCUUUGAAGACGCCUGCAGAGAUAGGGAUUAAGUUGCCAGUUGCUGGCGCGGAGACGGCGCAAAGUGUGAAACCAAACCCCGCGGAUCUCCUAACGAGACCUCGAGACCUUACACCUGAGAAGAGUGCGGCGAAAGCUGAGAGGACCCCUCGGCCGACGGCGGGUUGCCAGAGUCUGCGCUAAUUACCCCGCCAUUGUUCUGAGAGCGGUUGAGGCACACAUCCCGUAGAAACAAGUGCAGCUGCGCUGCUUCUUCUUGACUUAUUGCCGGCUCCCGUUGGCCCGGCCGAUGAUGCGGGUGGUCCGCCGAGACACCUGGGAGGCUUUAAGGUCUGUCGGCGGACAACAUUCCCUGAUUACUACGCCGCCCUUUGAUCGCUACAUCGGGGGGGUCGUAAAUCAAGAAGACGCGGUACGAACUGGCUAAGCUAGUGCUUUUAAACUCUUUUUUUUUUUUAAAGUUUUCUUUGUUUAUUAUUCAAGACCUUUAUAAAAAGUACACUGGAACCUCUGUACAUGGUUCAAAUGAAA